CCCCUCCCACAUCCCUCUCCCUCCCCCUGCACCCCCACCCCUGCAGCGUCGCCUCCUUGGGGUGCCCUGGGGGGAGGGGGAUGGGACACACAGUGAGGGGCUGCCUGGGGGGCAGAGGGGAUCGGGGGGGGUUCCUGGGGUCUUCCAUUGCCGGGGAGGAGGCAGAGCAGCCAUCCACCGCCUCCUUUCCUCCGGAGCUCAUUGUUCACCAACAAAGCCCUUCCCAACCCCCCCCCGCCUCCCCGAGCAUCUCUGGGCCACGCAAGGGGCCCUGGGGGGCUGCGGUGCCCCCCGCGUGGGGCAGUGCCCCCCUGAUAAAUGGGGGGGGGGGGGGCGUGUGGGUGCCACCACCCCCCCGGCGCUGGCAGCGAUCCAUAAAAUGGCUUCGCCGAAUCUCUCGGCGGCGCGGGGCGGACGUGACCUACAUGGAGCCGGCACAAAGGCGGCCGCGAUGCUGCCACUGCCGCUCUCCCCUGUCCCCACGUCCCCACGUCCCCUCGUCCUGCGGGCGAAGCCACCGCGUGCCCCGAUCCGGGCGGCCGCGCGCCGCCGCUCCCCGGGCACGAGGCCACCGUCGAGCACAAAGCGCGGCCGGCCCUGCGCCGGGGGGGUGGGUGGCGGGACCGAAUCCCACCUUUGGGGCUCGGAGAGGGGCUUUGGGGCGCACGCCGAGAAGCACCGGGCCCCAAAAAAACGAGCCCACGGCAGGCAGGGAGACGCUGGAGCAGCCGCAGCGUGGGAGCCGCGGGGCACGUCGCCGGCGUGCCAAGUCAGGCCGGCGCACGCCGGGCGCGGGAUCAGUGCGAGCAUGCCCUGCCGCGGCACAGCCUGCGUGAAAAAGCACCGGGGGAAUUUUUUUUUUAUUUAUUUUUUAAAUUAUUUAUAUAUUUCAAGGUUGCAGCUUAACCCUUAUCUGCGCGCGGGCAGCGACCUUGCAGCCUUUCUCCUCUCGGAGAAUAAAUCCUGCGCUGCCAAGCGGCUCCCUGAAAGAAAGAGAUUGCUGCAGAGGAGACGGGCAGCCGUGCCCGGGCGCGGGGGCUCGGGGAGGAGGAGGAGGAGGAGGAGGAGGAUGGCGAUGAUGGCGAUGGCGGCGCGAAGCUGCCGCAGCGCUGUGGGGGAAGGGUUGCUGCAGCCCUUUGUCACCGGAGAUGGGAAAACCAGAUGUGGGGCGAGGUGCAGGGCUGGGGGACGUGGAGAGGGGGCUGCGCUCGCCAAGCCGCCCGGCUUUGUGUGCUGCAGAGAGGGGGGGAGCCAAAUCUCCCCGGCAACAGGGGUCUCCCUGCUGUGCACGGGCCCUCUCCGAGAGAAAUAAAGCGGGGAGGGGGC
rnacentral:lncRNA from 1 species